rnacentral:lncRNA from 1 species
CUCCACCCUAUCUCUCCCGCCCCCCGCCCUCCCACCACCUUCCACCACCCUCCAUCCACCUUCCUCCAAUUUUUCCCAAGAGCCAAUGGGAACACUGUUGCCAGGUGGAAUGCUCAUUUGAAUCAGCCAAUCCCGGUACCCAUCCGCUUGCCCUGCCUUAUAUGGAUAGAGCAUUGUUGAAGGUGAUGGAGCUCCUUCUGAGGCCCAAACAAGCCUAAAUGAUCAAGAGCACGCGUUGCCUGCCCAAGGAGGACCCAGUAAAAAAAGAAUUCAUCACAACAUUGUCACAUUUAUAACAAUAGUUAGUAGAACUUGAGACAAGGCUAUUCAUCGUCAUCAUCAUUACCUAACAAAACUUACAACUAAGCCAACUUGAAUCCAUUUGCUUUGUCUGCCUCCCCAUUUCUAAGAAGCAAGUCUAAAUCCCUCUCCCUAAAAGUUCAAGAUCUUGGAUAAUCCACCCCAUUGUCGUUAACUUUUAUUACUGUGUCCACAGAUCAGGACAGUCUCUCCUCCCUGUUCUUUAGUGUGGAAUACUGUCUUCCCUCUUCCUAUAUAAAUCCUAUUGAGCUGAUUCAAAUAUAUAAGGACAAAAAAAAUUCCUAAAGAGUGAAAUGAAAGACAAUUCCCAAAGGAAAAAAAAAAUAAAGUUAUCAACAACAAUGUGAGGGGGGAAAUGUCCAAACUCACUAAUCAGAGAACAAUGCUUGGAAUUCACUUCAAGACCCAUCAGAUUGGCAAAAAUGAAAGAAAAAGAAAAUGAUAAUGUUUGGAAGUGCUGAUGGAAGAUAGGUAUUGUUAGUAGAGCUAUAAAUUAGUCCACCCUUUCUGGAAAACAGUUUGGAAUUAUACUCCAAAAGUAACUAAACUCUACAUAAUCUUUUGACCCAGUAAUACCACUAAUAUGCCUGUAUCUUAAAGAAAUAAAAGAAAGAUGAAAAGACCCACAAAAGUAUUUAUGGCAGGUUUUGUUGUAGUAGUUAAGAACCGGAAACUGAAGGAGUAUCCAUCAAUUGGAAAAUGGAUGAACAAAUUGUGAUAUAUGAAGGUAGCAGCAUAUUAGUAGUAUAAGAAAUUGUGAAAAGGAUGGUUCCAUGGAAACAUAGGGAACAGAAAAACUUGUAUGAAUCAAGUAGAACUAUUUGUAUAACUCUAAUAACAUUGUAAAGAAAAGCAAUUAAAAAAACAUAAGAAAUUUGAUUAAUUAAAUGACCAGUCAUAUAUUAGAAGAUCUAUGCUGAAGCAUAUUAACAACCUCCUGGCAGAAAAUUGAUAUUUUCAAGGUGCAGAAUAAGACAA